rnacentral:sRNA from 1 species
ACUCAGAAGCGGGAGUCUCCGAGAGAAGAAAAGCAAGUGAAAGGAGAGGAAGCGGAUGCCGUGGGUUUACAGCAGGAAAAUCCGUGGAGACAGCAGAUCCGAGAAGCGGCGAUGUUUGCGUAGAACCCUGUACGUGCUUCCUUUGGCCUGUCGCUCAAUAACAAUGAAUGUUCGUGCACAUUUCGUGAAAUUUGUCUGCAUGGAGGAGUCACUUUUGAGGUUCACGUGAAUACUAGCCAAAGAGGAUUUCAACAAAAACUGCUUUAUCUAAAUUCAGGAAGGGAGGGUACCGCUGCUCAGAAUUUCUCCUGUUUCAUCUACAAUGUGGAUUUCAUGAACUGUACCUGGGCGAGGGGUCCGACGGCCCCCCGUGACGUCCAGUAUUUUUUGUACAUACAAAACUCAAAGAGAAGGAGGGAGAUCCGGUGUCCUUAUUACAUGCAAGACUCGGGAACCCAUGUGGGAUGUCACCUGGAUAACCUGUCAGGAUUAACGUCUCGCAAUUACUUCCUGGUUAAUGGAACCAGCCGAGAAAUUGGCAUCCAAUUCUUCGAUUCACUUUUGGACACAAAGAAAAUAGAACGAUUCAACCCUCCGGGCAAUGUCACCGUACAUUGCAACACGACGCACUGCAUCGUACGGUGGAAACAACCCAGGACCUACCAGAAGCUGUCGUACCUGGACUUUCAGUACCAGCUGGACGUCCACAGAAAGAAUACCCAGCCUGGCACGGAAAACCUACUGAUUGAUGUUUCUGGUGAUUUGGAAAAUAGAUACAACGUUCCAAGCGCUGAGCC